GGAAGAGAUCGCACCCCGGUGGGGCGCUCGGUCUUCAAAACCGGGAGGGGCGGUCAAGCGGUCCCUGGUGGGUUCGACUCCCACUCUCUUCCGCCA
rnacentral:tRNA from 1 species